GUGGGGUGGAGAGAACUAGAAGGACGAAGACCAACAAAGCCGAGGUCACAGUUACCCAGCUCCCCUGAAGGUCAUUUAUUGAGCUCUGACUGAGAUCGACAGGUUAGGGUAGAGAAUCUGCAACUUCCCCGAAACAAUUUCAAGGAAAACGAAAGUAGGGAAAGUGAACGCGUGUCCUCAGGGAUUUGGAGCCAUGACCCCAUGCGUUUCCUCUGGUGAAAUAAGGUCAGUCCGUCAUGCUCCUUUUUGCUUCAGAAAAGGCAUUUUCGUCUGUUUGUGUUGAAAGAACACUAACUGUGAAUUUAAGAAACUAGGAGGGGAGUGGGGACCAGAAAGGUUUCUAGCCUGCUCGCCCUGCACUCAGAAUCCCAGGUAUUUGAGGUAUUACCCCAACGAAACAAGGCUGCUUUUCUCAUGACCUUUAAACAUGUCAGAAAAUGUUUUGAGAAAUGACACCAUUGUUAAAUGAACAUAUAGCCUCCUCCCAAGAAGGCAGCACUUAUUUGAAUAUUUAAGUUAAAAUUUAAACAUCUGUAACCGAAUGAGUGUCGUAGAUGAGGUUAAGCACGAAUUCCUUCCUUUGAAAAGUGAAAAAUCAUACCUGGGCCUCUGCGGUCAUUGAAACUAAUAGCACCCAGUUCCCGUACUGCCCAGGGCUCCUUCUGCAUAGGAACAGGUGGAGGGGGAUGGGGUCGAUCGAGAUAAAAAUCUCUUCCAUGAAUGUAAGUGAUAUGACUGUUUCCGAAUUCCCACAGUAAUUUAGGCGUACUGUCAGCGUGGGUUAGAAAUGGGGAGGAGAGGAUGGUGGAUGUAAAAUGCUUUAAUUUCCAGCUGUUUGCCUCAGAAUCUAGCUGAGUAGCUUGGAUGCAUAGAAGGUCACACGAAGGAGACGUUCACCUGCUUGCUUGCAAUGCCUCUUCCUUUAGGUUGAUCUUCCUCUCUGGUGUCCCCCACAGGGCCUUGCAUGGGCCACGGGACAAUUCACGUGCUUGGAAGAUUUCCCUGGUGACCGUUGGAGAGACGCGGGCGUCCUACAGCCUUGCCUCUGAGUGCCAGGACCGUGUUGACGCAGGCACAGCAGAGCAGGCCCUGACCUAAGGAGCUCGCGGUCUCUGGGGAAGCAGCGUCACAGGAUUACAUCAAGUUGACCAUGGUAAUGUUGGACAUGGCAAAGUGUUUGUCUAACGAGAACUGAGCUGGAUGAAAAUACCUGAAAACAAGGCAAAAUCAGCCAGGGUGGUGAUGAGAUCUGCUUUCUCUCUUCUGACAUCAGUGAGCUGGGCGGUAUCGUGCAUGGUGGUGAUGAUGACAGGUUGACUAGUAGGGCCAGACCAAGUGUGAAAUCGUUCACACCACUGCUCUGUUUCCAGGAGCCACGGUGAGAAGACAUGUAGACGCAUAUCACAACACCGAGUUGUGUGCCUGCAUGUAUGGAAAUGAUUUUUGUCACGUAGCCCUCAAUAAAGAAAACAAAUGAGCUUUACGCUUUGUUUCGAAGAGACUGCAUGCUCUCUUGCUUAACAAGCCGUCAGCUCGGCUUUUCGUUCCGUGGCUUCUCCCUUUCAACAGCGGUAUCAAGGAUGAAAAGAAAAA